UGCGGAAGGAUCAUUACCACACCAMMAAAAUAUCCACGUGAAUGUACUCUUUAUGAAGCCAAGUCAGGCGCAAGCUUGUAGGCAGAAGGUUUCGCAAGAAGCCGAUGUGAUUUUCAUCCCUUUUUUAAUUGAAUGACUGAUUGAGAUAGCCAUCAGAAAUGAUAGCUUGUAAUAAUAUACAACUUUCAACAGUGGAUGUCUCGGCUCGCACAUCGAUGAAGAGCGCGGCGAACUGCGAUACGUAAUGCGAAUUGCAGAAUUCAGUGAGUCAUCGAAAUCUUGAACGCAUAUUGCACUUUCGGGUUAGUCCUGGAAGUAUGUCUGUAUCAGUGUCCGUCGACACCAAAUUGUUUGAUCAUGUAUGUGAUGAAGCAGAUUGUGGAGGUCUUGUUUCGGCAAGUCCUUUGAAAAGACGGUCCCUCGUUUGAUGUCGAGUACAUUAUGUAGAGGACUAGAUGGAUCUUGUUUCGGCAUGAUUUUGUGUAGCGACUGCACAGUGUCUGAAGGGAGAUUAAAUUGCGGUAGUUUUGCUUGUGUUUCGGCACGGGUGAACAAGUAUUGCAUUUUAAUUCGACUGGAAGGCUUGGGUGGUCAAAGACGAAAUCGAGGCAAGAGCUGUGUAGUCUGGUGUGCUCGUGUCAAGUGGAGAAGCAAAUGGGAAUCAUAAUCCAAUUUGGACCUGAUAUCAGACAAGACUACCCGCUGAAUUUAA
rnacentral:rRNA from 1 species